CUCUCUCUCUCUCUCCCCCCUCCCAAAACGAUGCUGCCGGAGACAGCUCUAUUUGUCGUCCCGACGACACAAUAGUAUCAGGAUGCAGACAUGAUCCCCUUUCACUACCCUAUUAGUUGCACUAAAACACGCACACAAAUCACAGACGAAGCAAGUUGUGGUUUUCAGCAGAUGCAGCAUCAUCUCCGAUUCUGAUUAGAUCCACUUUGCGAUGGUUUUGGUAAAUCUACUUGGGGUGUGGCGGCGGCGGCGGCGUGGUGACAAUAAUUUUGGAUUUGGAUUUGGAUUUUUUUUUUUUUUUUUGGUAAAGUGGUGGUAUUUUGCUGUGGUGUAGUUGUGCAAUGAAUUUGGGUGUUGGUGGCGCUGUUAGUGGUGGUGCGGUGGUUGGGUAUGGUGUGUGCGUGCGUGGGGUUGUGGUGGUAUUUUCUGUGAUUCGGUGGUGGCUCUGUUGUGUUGGAUCUGGUCUUGGUGGCGGUGGCUCUGUUCGAUGGUAGCGAUUUUUUGCUGUGGUGAAUCUGUUGGUGUGUUGUGUUGACCGAUUUGUCGUGAGUUGGUG
rnacentral:lncRNA from 1 species